GAAUGAAGGAAUGAACACUUAGAAGUCAGAGGAAAUCCAGGCAAAGAAAGCAAGCAUAUUGGCCAGGGAAAUGGUGAUGAUUAUGAAUCAGGAAGACUCAGGAGCUUGAAGAUUACUUAGCAAGAAUGGGGAUGGGCACGAGGACACCUCUUUUCUGCUCAGGACUCCAGCUUAGCUGAGGAUGUGAUCCACCCUUCUUGCAACCAUUUCUGAAGAAUGUGGUCAGAAAGCCUCCAUCUUUCUGGUAUAAGCAAGUUCCCUAAAAUGAGAGUGAUCUGCCAAGAGGAGAAGCCCGAGAGCAAUGGUUAUAUUCUCCCUACUGGCCAGAAUGCUUUGUGUUCCGAACCAUGAGACAUGAGGACGUUGACUGUGGGAAGUGCGCAUCUCCGUUUCAUGUGGACACAGGGACUUAACCACCUUCGAUUUCCUUUUCCUGAACAGUCUUUGCCCAUAUCCCUUCAAAUACCCUAUGACUCGAGAUCCUCUUGGCCACCCUUGUUGAUUACCAUUAGUUUGCCCUUCUGAGAGAAAACCCCAUACAGUCACCCGUCAUCUGAACUUCGCUGCUCAAGAAUCAGACACCUCCUCUUGUCCCUUUCAGAACUGGCGUGGACUCAGGAACCGAACAUCCUGGACAUAGACAGUCCAAGGCAGGGACAGUACAUAACGCCCUUCCUGCAAAGGGCUACGGACUCAGCCUCCUCUAUGAAUCUUUCCUUGUCAGACCGUCUCUCCCAGGCUACCGUGAAAACCCGGGGAUUUGGGGCCAACACUUUUUUAGCAAAACAAAGAGGACUAUGACUUUAUUUUCUCUGUACUUUUUAUCUUGGGGGGGGGGCGGAAAGCUUGAUAGAUCAGCAGCUAUUUUAAGGGUUUAAAAAAAAAUGUAGGAUAUCAUUAGCACAAGAUUGCUUACAAAUGUGCACAUUAUCUUCCAAAAUGGCACUUUCUUAGUGUCUAGGAGAUUUAAAAAACUGUAGGAAUAAAAGAAAAGAAACAAGUGUCUCUUUAAGUGUCCUAUAUUCUUUUCUCCCACUCCUGUCCCCUGUCUCAAUUCUGAAGACAUGGUAACUGGAAGGGAUGAAUCCUCUGGAGUCAGAAGGCCAACCUUAC
ensembl:lncRNA